UCCUGACUGACCGAUAGUGAACCAGUACCGUGAGGGAAAGGCGAAAAGAACCCCGGCGAGGGGAGUGAAAAAGAACCUGAAACCGUGUACGUACAAGCAGUGGGAGCACGCUUAGGCGUGUGACUGCGUACCUUUUGUAUAAUGGGUCAGCGACUUAUAUUCUGUAGCAAGGUUAACCGAAUAGGGGAGCCGAAGGGAAACCGAGUCUUAACUGGGCGUUAAGUUGCAGGGUAUAGACCCGAAACCCGGUGAUCUAGCCAUGGGCAGGUUGAAGGUUGGGUAACACUAACUGGAGGACCGAACCGACUAAUGUUGAAAAAUUAGCGGAUGACUUGUGGCUGGGGGUGAAAGGCCAAUCAAACCGGGAGAUAGCUGGUUCUCCCCGAAAGCUAUUUAGGUAGCGCCUCGUGAAUUCAUCUCCGGGGGUAGAGCACUGUUUCGGCAAGGGGGUCAUCCCGACUUACCAACCCGAUGCAAACUGCGAAUACCGGAGAAUGUUAUCACGGGAGACACACGGCGGGUGCUAACGUCCGUCGUGAAGAGGGAA
rnacentral:rRNA from 1 species